rnacentral:rRNA from 1 species
CGCGUAGGCGGCCGUUUAAGUUAGGUGUGAAAGUCCUGGGCUCAACCUGGGGACUGCACUUAAUACUGGAUGGCUUGAAUUCGGGAGAGGAUAGCGGAAUUCCCAGUGUAGAGGUGAAAUUCGUAGAUAUUGGGAAGAACACCGGUGGCGAAGGCGGCUAUCUGGACCGACAUUGACGCUGAGGCGCGAAAGCGUGGGGAGCAAACA